UACGGGGGGGCAAGCGUUAUCCGGAUUCACUGGGUUUAAAGGGUUCGUAGGUGGCUGGCUAAGUCAGACGUGAAAUCCCUCAGCUUAACCGGGGAACUGCAUCUGAUACUGGAUGGCUUGAGAUUGGGAGAGGGAUGCGGAAUUCCAGGUGUAGCGGUGAAUGCGUAGAUAUCUGGAGGAACACCGGUGGCGAAGGCGGCAUCCUGGACCAACACUGACGCUGAGGAGCGAAAGCCAGGGAGCAAACGGG
rnacentral:rRNA from 1 species